GACGAACGCUGGCGGCGUGCUUAACACAUGCAAGUCGAACGAAGCGGCGAACGGGUGAGUAACGCGUAAUCAAUCUGCUCUUCUGAGGGGGACAACAGUUGGAAACGACUGCUCAUACCGCAUACUGAAGGUGGGGAUUGCGUCGGAUUAGCUAGUUGGAGGGGUAAUGGCCCACCAAGGCGAUGUUCAGUAGCCGGUCUGGGAGGGUGGACUGCCACAUUGGGAAUGGGACAAGGCCCAGACUCCUACGGGAGGCAGCAGUGGGGAAUCUUCCGCAAUGGACGAAAGUCUGACGGGACAACGCCGCGUGAGUGAGGACGGCCUUCGGGUUGUAAAGCUCUGUUAGUCGGGACGCGGUACCGGAAUAGAAAGCCACGGCUAACUACGUGCCAGCAGCCGCGGUAAUAC
rnacentral:rRNA from 1 species